GAUGAACGCUGGCGGCGUGCCUAAUACAUGCAAGUCGAGCGAACGGACGAGAAGCUUGCUUCUCUGAUGUUAGCGGCGGACGGGUGAGUAACACGUGGAUAACCUACCUAUAAGACUGGGAUAACUUCGGGAAACCGGAGCUAAUACCGGAUAAUAUUUUGAACCGCAUGGUUCAAAAGUGAAAGACGGUCUUGCUGUCACUUAUAGAUGGAUCCGCGCUGCAUUAGCUAGUUGGUAAGGUAACGGCUUACCAAGGCAACGAUGCAUAGCCGACCUGAGAGGGUGAUCGGCCACACUGGAACUGAGACACGGUCCAGACUCCUACGGGAGGCAGCAGUAGGGAAUCUUCCGCAAUGGGCGAAAGCCUGACGGAGCAACGCCGCGUGAGUGAUGAAGGUCUUCGGAUCGUAAAACUCUGUUAUUAGGGAAGAACAUAUGUGUAAGUAACUGUGCACAUCUUGACGGUACCUAAUCAGAAAGCCACGGCUAACUACGUGCCAGCAGCCGCGGUAAUACGUAGGUGGCAAGCGUUAUCCGGAAUUAUUGGGCGUAAAGCGCGCGUAGGCGGUUUUUUAAGUCUGAUGUGAAAGCCCACGGCUCAACCGUGGAGGGUCAUUGGAAACUGGAAAACUUGAGUGCAGAAGAGGAAAGUGGAAUUCCAUGUGUAGCGGUGAAAUGCGCAGAGAUAUGGAGGAACACCAGUGGCGAAGGCGACUUUCUGGUCUGUAACUGACGCUGAUGUGCGAAAGCGUGGAGAUCAAACAGGAUUAGAUACCCUGGUAGUCCACGCCGUAAACGAUGAGUGCUAAGUGUUAGGGGGUUUCCGCCCCUUAGUGCUGCAGCUAACGCAUUAAGCACUCCGCCUGGGGAGUACGACCGCAAGGUUGAAACUCAAAGGAAUUGACGGGGACCCGCACAAGCGGUGGAGCAUGUGGUUUAAUUCGAAGCAACGCGAAGAACCUUACCAAAUCUUGACAUCCUUUGACAACUCUAGAGAUAGAGCUUUCCCCUUCGGGGGACAAAGUGACAGGUGGUGCAUGGUUGUCGUCAGCUCGUGUCGUGAGAUGUUGGGUUAAGUCCCGCAACGAGCGCAACCCUUAAGCUUAGUUGCCAUCAUUAAGUUGGGCACUCUAAGUUGACUGCCGGUGACAAACCGGAGGAAGGUGGGGAUGACGUCAAAUCAUCAUGCCCCUUAUGAUUUGGGCUACACACGUGCUACAAUGGACAAUACAAAGGGCAGCGAAACCGCGAGGUCAAGCAAAUCCCAUAAAGUUGUUCUCAGUUCGGAUUGUAGUCUGCAACUCGACUAUAUGAAGCUGGAAUCGCUAGUAAUCGUAGAUCAGCAUGCUACGGUGAAUACGUUCCCGGGUCU
rnacentral:rRNA from 1 species